GGAAUUCCUGCCUACCUGUUGCUUUCCAGAGGCUGGAGAUUUCCAGAAAGGACUGAGCUAUGCUGGGCAACAAGCAAUGAAUCAGAGGCAGAACAAAACAUGACAUCUCCAUCAGAGGGAAGAAAGGAAGACUCUAUGAAACACCCCAUUGCUCCAGCCCUUUGUUGUCUGCUGACUUCACUUCCCCAGUCUGGCUCAGGAGUGGGGAAAGCCCGAUGACAGCAUGCAGAGACAGAUCACCGUCCUCCUUGUGCCUCGCUGUAUGCAGCAAUGUGCCAAAGCCCCCACGUGCCAGAGUGCAGCAAUUGCAGCUAGUGAGCCACGGGAGACAUGCCAAGGCAGAGCUGGCCUGGUUUUGGGCUGGGACAGCCAAUGGAAGGUUCAAUAGAUAGCAGCUGCUAUUUACCUGCUGCUCUGCACCCGGCCCGCGCAGCAGAUCGGACAUGCAGAGAGCCAGCUGGAAGUCAAUACUAAUGCUGUAUGCCAACUAAACUGUUGCUUUCUUAGGAAUCAGUGUGCAUUCAAGCGUGAGCCCCUUUCCUCAGAGCCACACCAAGGGAGGCAAGGACCAGUGCAGCCAUACAGUGUCCUCACUCACCUACUCACCCCUGCCUGCUGUACACAGAUGUGUGCGUGGCACUUGCUUGACAGCCCUGUGGCUGGCAGGCACUGAGUGGUCAGUACAAUUGUCCAACAAGAACUAAAUCUGUGCUAAGUGCCUCCUUGCAAGCGCUAACAAUAACCCAGAGCCACCACUUGUAAAGCACUCAUGUUGUUUCUGUGCUUCUCAUUUA